UUGUGUAGGUUGUGAAGCUUCGUCUGCCUGGUUAUUUUUUAUACAGUAGCCUAUAUGGACUGGAUACUCACAUUUGCCAUCUUUAUUUUUACAUAUUGAGCCAUAUUGGCUUUGCGCAAUAUAACUUUUUUUGUGCAUGGGUUCUUCACCCUUCAAAUGUGGUGUUUUUAGAUUUUAAUCAUAAUUCUGCGUUGGUUCGCCACUCAUGCGCUAUGGGAGGUUGAGUGAGUAGCACAUUAGCAGAUGAAUAGGUGUCCUAUUCACGAUUUGCCAACUCUGUUUACAAUGCACAAUGGGGACUAAACAGACGAAGGGAGCCGCGUCGGACACCGGUGGCUCUUGCUCACUGCUCAGCGCUUGGAGACGGACGCAGAGCUCGUUCAGCCGGUGGUCGUCGGGUGAUCGGCUGGGACGCGGCGGGGCUCCUCCACCCUACCAGAAACGCAUCAGUAUGAUCCAGGAGGUGUCUGUGAUGGCUAGGGAGGGGAGACAGCUGAAGACACUCCGACAGGAUCUAGGCAUGGAGACCACGUCUCUGGACGAUGUUCUGUACCGCUAUGCCAGCUUCAGGAACCUGGUAGAUCCUAUCACCACGACCUCAUCAUCCGCUUGGCCAGAUACGUGACCUGCCCCAAGACGCUGGAGCCCACGUAGUAUGAUCUCCUGUUGGGGCAUAUCUGCUACAGUAACCACUGGCGGUUUGUGGCAACCUAUGGAGGAGGCUGCGGACCAGCAUUUGAUUUCACUUGGCUACAUGACAAGCAGCAUUUUUUUUAUGUGGCUGGGGAAUAGCAUUUUUUAUAAAUUUUACAAUUGAUGAGGCUGGGGAACAACAGCUUUGUUUAUUUUAUUUAUAUAUAUAUAUAUAUACAGACACACACUACUGUUCAAAAGUUUGGGGUCACUUGGAAAUGUCCUUGUUUUUGAAAGAAAAGCAAAUGUUUUGUCCAUUAAAAUAACAUCAAAUUGAUCAGAAA